AAAGGACUCCAAGCCCAUCAAAUCCGGCUGAUCCCCACCUUGUCACCAGCCCAGAGCACUGAGUGCCACACCCAGGCCUUCCUUGGACACCUCCAGAUUCCUCCAGACUCCUGGGCAGCCCCUUCCAAUGUUUAACAUCUCUUUCCUUGAAGAAAUUCUUCCUGAUGUCCAGCCUGACCCUCUCCUGGUACAGCUUGUUUGCUGAGUUUGGGUCAGAGCUUGUGCUUGCAGCCCCAGUUAACCUUUCUGCAAGGAAAAACCCAACCUAAGCAGCAGAAAAUGUCAGGAAAAUUAUGUUAAUUUGCAGAGUGAAUUUUCUUCAGGACCUCAAAGAAGAACUCGAUCAGGGUCAGAGAUGCUGCAGCCACACACAGGCUGAAAUCCAAGGCCCUCUGGAGUCAGUGGGAACUUUGCCACUGGAUGUCAAGAGUUUUAGGAAGCCAACCAAGCAGAAAACCCCAAAUCUAAAUGGCUCAACGUAUUCAGCUCUGUCAGAAUGUUCAGCACUGCUCCUGGUUGGAAAAUGCUUUAUUGUGCCAUGGAAAUUUAUAAGGAGAAAGGGGUGGGAGGGGAGAGGUUUGUAGAUUUGUUGUUGCCAGCUCAGUCCUUGAUGGAAAUCCUCCCUGGAGAAGGGAGAGGGCAGACCCAGGGACCUGGCACAGUCAGCCACAGAAAUUCAGUCCCACAGAGUGAGACUUGCAGAAAUUUCCUCAAAUAAGAUUCCAGCAUUCGCUUUCCAGAAGUUUAACUCAUGGGCAGGCUGGUGCAUCCCAAUGGCUCUGCUGAAUUCAAUAACGUGGGAAGAAAGUUGCUUUUCUGGGCAAAUAAAAACGUGAGGUUGUGCCCUGGGUUUAACA
rnacentral:lncRNA from 1 species